AUCGUAAAAUCUGUAUUGAACCAAAUUAAACACUGAACUCUCUCUCUCUCUCUACUAAAUUCAUCACCCACCUCACUCUAUCUCUCUCUACAAAUUUCUACUUCACUUUGCACCCUAAUUAUCAAUGCUCUACUGAAUCUCGUAGCCGGGUUACUCAAUUCCAACUUGAAGCAUUGUCAACUCUCAAACGCCUCAAUUCGUUGCUCGUCGAAAGGUGUCGAAAAUGAAGAAAGGGACGGAGACAGUGAAGACAUUGAUCUUACUUGAGAAGAUCUUUUAUGAAGAUUUCUACAUGUUCUAAGAAUCUUUUUGCUAUCGAACAUUUUGAAACUUAUCCUAAAUCUUGAAAUGUAAAACUUAAUUAUGCAUUUUGGGUUGAACAUUUUGCUUUUACGGGUAUAUAUGUUGGAUUAGGAAUGUUGGAUAUUUUGGAUUAUGAAAAAUUGUGUUUUUCGGUUUA